CCGCGUAGCUCAGUUGGUAGAGCAUUGGGCUAGUAUUCCAAAGGUCGUAGGUUCGAUUCCCACCGUGG
rnacentral:tRNA from 1 species